rnacentral:lncRNA from 1 species
CAUCUUGCAUGAUCACUUCGUACACUGCUUUGCCAAAAACAAAGGGAGGUUAACCAUACAUGUCACUCUAGUUUAUGCCUCAACUGACUGCCAAAAGAGGGAUAAAACAUGGGACGAACUGAUAAAAAUAAGUAGAACGAUCACUGGACCAUGGAUUCUACUCGGUGAUUUCAACGAGAUCAGAAGUAGGGAAGAUAGAAUAGGAGAACACGCCACAUUCUCUAUGCCAAACAUAAGG